rnacentral:rRNA from 1 species
UACGUAGGUGGCAAGCGUUGUCCGGAUUUAUUGGGCGUAAAGCGCGCGCAGGUGGUGCGGUAAGUCUGCCGUGAAAUCUCCCGGCUCAACUGGGAGGGGGCGGUGGAGACUGCCGGACUGGAGGGACUCAGAGGCCGGUGGAAUUCCCGGUGUAGUGGUGAAAUGCGUAGAGAUCGGGAGGAACACCAGUGGCGAAGGCGGCCGGCUGGGGGUGCCCUGACGCUGAGGCGCGAAAGCGUGGGGAGCAAACAGG